rnacentral:misc_RNA from 1 species
CCACGGCCCACCCAAAACAUUGUAGUCGUAUUUUUUUUUCUUAUUCUUUUAUUGUAGCUCAAGCAGGCAUAGCUAGCAUAUAUAUAUAUCGCACAUGAACUGAGUACAGGAUAUACAAACGCGUACACAUGCCUUUAUUGUUCUCCACAUCAACACAAACUCAUACACGUCAGUACGUAGUGAUCGAGUACACCAUCAUUCGAUUUAGUUCUCUAUAGUGCCGGCCGGUCUCCACACACCUAACACCGCCUACCAGCACGCAGGUUAAGGACGCGACGCUUUUACUUUGGAGAGGGAAAUAAAAAUAAUAAAAAGCUGGCCACCGAUCGAGCCCGUGUGUCCGGCGGUCGUCGUCGCCGGCGCGGCUGAUCGGCCGGGGGCCUCACGCGGCGGUGACAGCGAUCUUCAUGCCGGCCUGGCAGUGGCCUGGGAAGCUGCAGAUGAAGUAGUUGGCGCCGCGCUUCAGCGUGACGCGGUCGUUCCCGGUGGUGAGCGCCCUCACGCCCUUGGGCGCGCUGCAGGACUUGUACCCCGCCGCGCUCACGGGCACCACGUUGUGCGCCUUGGCGUUGUACCUGAACGCUGCACGACGAAGAACGCGUGCACACGCAAAACAGCAGCCAUCCAUGGUAUGGACCUUAAUUUAGGGAACGAAGCUGGAGGGGCCGUGACACUGACAUGCAUGAACAAAGAGCUAGUAGCACUGACCGAGCACGUCGCCGGCGCGGAACCGCUUGCCCUUGGGCCAGUUGGCGGUGUUGAAGCUCCACCCGCCGCGGUCGCCGACCGUGUACACCGCCGACUCGGCCAACUCGCCGUGGAGGAGCACGCAGAGGAGGACCAGCGCAAGCGCGGCGGCGGCGCCGCUGCCACGAGCACUGCCACUUCCCUGAGCCGCCAUGGAUGCUGCUCUACGGUACGAUGCCGUCUCUCACGUACACAAGGGGCCGGGCUAGCACUGGCUUGGAGCGAAGUGAUGAGAGUGAGCAGAGCUGUAGUGCUCAGUGCAC